AGAUGCCGUGUGAUGCAGCCCUCUAUCCCCAGCGCUGUGAAGAGGAGACUGCCAACCCAAGGAUGGUACUGGGUUGGACUGGUCUGCUUGUGUGGAAGAAGAGCAGACCGUCACCUGCGGGCCGCAGUUCUGUGAUGGACUGCAAUCAAUCCCUGACGUGCAGCCGCCGAAGAGGAGGUUCAUGCUGACCCGGACGGAUCCCAACCGCAGUCAAGUAGAGAAGAGGAGGAUGCACAACAAGCAGCAGAGCCCAGCACAGCCCAGCGGAGCCCAGCCGAGCCCAGCAGAAGUUGCAGCAGCCAGGAUCCUAUUCCGCAACCAGGAAGCCUAAUAGAGAAGCUUUUUGAAUUUAUUUCCUUCUGUCUCUUUUCUGUCUCCUAAGCACUUCCCCUAAUCUAACAUAACUAACCAUCCCCCCUUCCCCUUAAGCCCCCUUUAUGCCCUUUCCUGAUCUAACUGUCUUCAUCUGCUAAUGUCUUUUUCAACUGAUUUUGUUGUAAUGUCGUUGAAUUUCUGUGUUUUGUUUCAUUGUUUUGAAUUUUGACUAAUCUCUUCUCAGUUGUAUAU